CCUACGUGCGGCUGCAGUGAGGAAUAUUGGUCAAUGGAUGAAAAUCUGAACCAGCCAAGUAGCGUGCAGGAUGACGGCCCUAUGGGUUGUAAACUGCUUUUAUGUGAGAAUAAAGUUAGGUAUGUAUACUUAUUUGCAUGUAUCACAUGAAUAAGGACCGGCUAAUUCCGUGCCAGCAGCCGCGGUAAUACGGAAGGUCCAGGCGUUAUCCGGAUUUAUUGGGUUUAAAGGGUGCGUAGGCCGUUUGAUAAGCGUGCUGUGAAAUAUAGUGGCUCAACCUCUAUCGUGCAGCGCGAACUGUUGAACUUGAGUGCGUAGUAGGUAGGCGGAAUUCGUGGUGUAGCGGUGAAAUGCUUAGAUAUCACGAAGAACUCCGAUUGCGAAGGCAGCUUACCGUAACGUUACUGACGCUUAAGCACGAAGGUGCGGGUAUCGAACAGGAUUAGAUACCCUUGUAGUC
rnacentral:rRNA from 1 species